rnacentral:rRNA from 1 species
UACGGAAGGGGCAAGCGUUGUUCGGAAUCAUUGGGCGUAAAGGGCGCGUAGGUGGUUCUGUAUGUCUACCGUGAAAGCAUACGGCUCAACUGUAUUUUGUCGGUUAGAAACUGCAGGACUUGAGGCUGGGAGGGGCUGGUGGAAUUCCCGUGUGUAGCGGUGAAAUGCGUAGAGAUGGGGGAGAACACUCGUGGCGAAGGCGGGUCUCUGGGCCGAUACUGACGCUGGAGGAGCGAAAGCGUGGGGAGCGAACAG